rnacentral:lncRNA from 1 species
UAAUGAUGGUCACAGUAUGUGUGGGGAAUCUCUUCACAGAGUUUUGGGAAGGACUCCAUUGAUUCAGUGCACACUGGAAUCCUGUGGGUUCACAGUCUGACCGUCUCACAGCAGAGAAAAAACAGGCAAGAGUGGUGGAGUCAGUGAGCUGAAACAUAACGUCACUAACAGCUGUCCACUACCUGCAAGGAGACCUUCUGGAAAAGGCCUUUAGGAGCUCUGUGCUUCUGGAUCAUGGCUCUUUUCCUUGUUUGCUCUGACAGAAAGUCAUCUUCAGGAACAUCUCAGCUCUUUGAAGGCAAAUCGCUUACCAAAAACGUGCUUGGAUAA